UGGCGGCGUGCCUAUCAUGCAAGUCGAACGCACGAAGUUGAAGAGCUUGCUCUUUAACCUAGUGAGUGGCGGACGGGUGAGUAACACGUGGGUAACCUGCCCAUUAGAGGGGGAUAACACUUGGAAACAGGUGCUAAUACCGCAUAAUUGUUUUAGCCGCAUGGCUGAAGCAUGAAAGACGCUUUCGGGUGUCACUAAUGGAUGGACCCGCGCUGCAUUAGUUAGUUGGUGAGGUAAUGGCUCACCAAGACCGUGAUGCAUAGCCGACCUGAGAGGGUGAUCGGCCACACUGGGACUGAGACACGGCCCAGACUCCUACGGGAGGCAGCAGUAGGGAAUCUUCGGCAAUGGACGAAAGUCUGACCGAGCAACGCCGCGUGAGUGAAGAAGGUUUUCGGAUCGUAAAACUCUGUUGUUAGAGAAGAACAAGUGGGAGAGUAACUGUUCCCACCUUGACGGUAUCUAACCAGAAAGCCACGGCUAACUACGUGCCAGCAGCCGCGGUAAU
rnacentral:rRNA from 1 species